GCCGGCAGCGACGGCGACUGCGACGCAGCAGGUGGCAGCAAAGUCGGCGAUAAAGGACAAAAUACAAAAAGAAUACAAACUAGAAAAGCUCAGAAAGCAACAAUUGAACGAAACGCAUAAUGCGUGCUCAAUGAACAAACAAAUUACGUGCAAUUUACAGUUGCAAUCAAGACAGAAGAAUACAGAAGAGCCGAACAAGGUGGGCAGGAGGAGGUGGGAAGAAAUGAAAAUAAGCAAGUCCUGACUUCAAACGUGGGUAGCAACAAUUACAAAAAGACUUUUGCCUACAUCUUACAACUUAAUGUGUGCGACACUGUGCAGGCCACAAAUGUACAAACCACCAAACCAUAAUAAUAAAAUGACAUUCCGGUUUA